UGUGGGAGCUGGCUUGCCAGCGAUAGCGGUGUGUCAGCCACAGAAUGGUCAACUGAUCUGCCGCCAUCGCUGGCAAGCCAGCUCCCACA
rnacentral:misc_RNA from 1 species